GGCGAACGCUGGCGGCGUGCCUAACACAUGCAAGUCGAACGGGGUUGUUCCUUCGGGGACAACUUAGUGGCGAACGGGUGAGUAACGCGUGAGGAACCUGCCUUUCAGUGGGGGACAACAGUUGGAAACGACUGCUAAUACCGCAUAAUGUUAUUUAGGGGCAUCCCUGAAUAACCAAAGCUUUAUGUGCUGAAAGAUGGCCUCGCGUCUGAUUAGCUAGUUGGUGAGGUAGCGGCUCACCAAGGCGACGAUCAGUAGCCGGUCUGAGAGGAUGAUCAGCCACACUGGGACUGAGACACGGCCCAG
rnacentral:rRNA from 1 species